rnacentral:rRNA from 1 species
CUCAAAGAUUAAGCCAUGCAUGUAUAAGUAGAAACGUUUCGGUCGUGAAACCGCGAACGGCUCAUUACAACAGCUAUAAUUUACUUGAUCUUGACGCAUCCUACAUGGAUAACUGUGGUAAUUCUAGAGCUAAUACAUGCACCAAAGCUCUGCCCCCCGCGGGAAGAGUGCAUUUAUUAGAGCAAAACCAGGCGCUGCCGCAAGGUGGCGUUCCGUGUUGACUCARAAUAACCUCUAGCUGAUCGCACGGUCCUCGUACCGGCGACGUGUCUUUCAAGUGUCUGCCUUAUCAACUUUCGAUGGUAGUGUAUCUGACUACCAUGGUUGUGACGGGUAACGGAGGAUAAGGGUUCGACUCCGGAGAAGGGGCCUGAAAAAUGGCCACUACGUCUAAGGAUGGCAGCAGGCGCGCAAAUUACCCACUCUCGGCACGAGGAGGUAGUGACGAAAAAUAACGAGACCGUUCUCACAAGAGGCCGGUCAUCGGAAUGGGUACAAUCUAAACCCUUUAACGAGUAUCUAUGAGAGGGCAAGUCUGGUGCCAGCAGCCGCGGUAAUUCCAGCUCUCAAAAUGCAUAGAACCAUUGCUGCGGUUAAAAAGCUCGUAGUUGGAUCUGCGCCGGCGGGCAAGUCCCCUCCACGUGGGGUGGUACUUGUCUCCGCCGGCUAGUGCCGGAACAGCUGGAUAGCUCACCUCGCGUGACUGUUCGUGCCGCCUGGCGUUUUACUUUGAACAAAUCAGAGUGCUCAGCACAGGCGUCUCGCCUGAAUGUUCGUGCAUGGAAUAAUAGAAGAGGAUUUCGGUCCUAUUUUAUUGGUUUUGAGGACUGAGAUAAUGGUUAACAGAGACAGACGGGGGCAUUCGUAUUGCUGCGUGAGAGGUGAAAUUCUUGGACCGCAGCAAGACGGACAACAGCGAAAGCAUUUGCCAAGARUGUCUUCAUUAAUCRAGAACGAAAGUCAGAGGUUCGAAGGCGAUCAGAUACCGCCCUAGUUCUGACCGUAAACGAUGCCAACUAGCGAUCCGCCGGCGGAUUCCAAACGCCCUGGUGGGGAGCUUCCCGGAAACGAAAGUCUUCCGGUUCCGGGGGAAGUAUGGUUGCAAAGCUGAAACUUAAAGGAAUUGACGGAAGGGCACCACCAGGAGUGGAGCCUGCGGCUUAAUUUGACUCAACACGGGAAAACUCACCCGGCCCGGACACCGCGAGGAUUGACAGAUUGAUAGCUCUUUCAUGAUUCGGUGGAUGGUGGUGCAUGGCCGUUCUUAGUUCGUGGAGCGAUUUGUCUGGUUUAUUCCGAUAACGAGCGAGACUCUAGCCUACUAACUAGUCCGCAUGUUCCUUGUGUUGCAUGCUCACUACGGACUUCUUAGAGGGAUUUUCGGCGUUUCAGCCGCACGAAACUGAGCAAUAACAGGUCUGUGAUGCCCUUAGAUGUCUGGGGCUGCACGCGCGCUACACUGGCGAAAUCAGCGUGCCUGUCCUCUCGCGAAAGCGACUGGUAAACCGGUGAAAAUUCGCCGUGAUUGGGAUCGGAAAUUGCAAUUAUUUUCCGUGAACGAGGAAUUCCAAGUAAGUGCGAGUCAUCAACUCGCGUUGAUUACGUCCCUGCCCUUUGUACACACCGCCCGUCGCUGCCCGAGACUGAGCCAUUUCGAGAAAUUUGGGGAUUGUCGCUUGUUGUGGGGGCAACUCCACUCCAGCGGUGAGAACCAACUUAAUCGCAGUGGCUUGAAUCGGGC